CGUCUUGAAACACGGACCAAGGAGUCUAGCAUGUGCGCGAGUCAUUGGGAAUAACUAAACCUAAAGGCGCAAUGAAAGUGAAGGUCCGCCUCGCGCGGACCGAGGGAAGAUGGGCGUGCGCGCUUGCGUGCCGCUCCGCACUCCCGGGGCGUCUCGUUCUCAUUGCGAGAAGAGGCGCACCAAGAGCGUACACGCUGGGACCCGAAAGAUGGUGAACUAUGCCUGGUCAGGACGAAGUCAGGGGAAACCCUGAUGGAGGUCCGUAGCGAUUCUGACGUGCAAAUCGAUCGUCGGAACUGGGUAUAGGGGCGAAAGACUAAUCGAACCAUCUAGUAGCUGGUUCCCUCCGAAGUUUCCCUCAGGAUAGCUGGCGCUCGUCGCCUACGAGUCUCAUCCGGUAAAGCGAAUGAUUAGAGGCAUUGGGGUCGAAACGGCCUCAACCUAUUCUCAAACUUUAAAUGGGUGAGAUCUCCGGCUUGCUCGAACUUAUGAAGCCGCGAGACACGGAUCAGAGUGCCAAGUGGGCCAUUUUUGGUAAGCAGAACUGGCGCUGUGGGAUGAACCAAACGCCGAGUUAAAGCGCCUAAAUCGACGCUUAUGGGAUACCAUGAAAGGCGUUGGUAACUUAAGACAGCAGGACGGUGGCCAUGGAAGUCGGAAUCCGCUAAG
rnacentral:rRNA from 1 species